CAUAUAGUCCUCGCUUUUCCGACCGUAAGGUGGUCGGCGAAUAAGGGCUGGGCAAGACCGGUGCCAGCCGCCGCGGUAAUACCGGCAGCCCAAGUGAUGACCGAUAUUAUUGGGCUAAAGCGUCCGUAGCCGGCCACGAAGGUUCAUCGGGAAAUCCGCCAGCUCAACUGGCGGGCGUCCGGUGAAAACCACGUGGCUUGGGACCGGAAGGCUCGAGGGGUACGUCCGGGGUAGGAGUGAAAUCCCGUAAUCCUGGACGGACCACCGAUGGCGAAAGCACCUCGAGAAGACGGAUCCGACGGUGAGGGACGAAAGCUAGGGUCUCGAACCGGAUUAGAUACCCGGGUAGUCCUAGCUGUAAACGAUGCUCGCUAGGUGUGGCACAGGCUACGAGCCUGUGCUGUGCCGUAGGGAAGCCGAGAAGCGAGCCGCCUGGGAAGUACGUCCGCAAGGAUGAAACUUAAAGGAAUUGGCGGGGGAGCACUACAACCGGAGGAGCCUGCGGUUUAAUUGGACUCAACGCCGGACAUCUCACCAGCUCCGACUAUAGUAAUGACGGUCAGGUUGAUGACCUUGCCACGACGCUAUAGAGAGGAGGUGCAUGGCCGCCGUCAGCUCGUACCGUGAGGCGUCCUGUUAAGUCAGGCAACGAGCGAGACCCGCACUUCUAAUUGCCAGCAACAGUUUCGACUGGUUGGGUACAUUAGAAGGACUGCCGCUGCUAAAGCGGAGGAAGGAACGGGCAACGGUAGGUCAGUAUGCCCCGAAUGAGCUGGGCUACACGCGGGCUACAAUGGCCGAGACAAUGGGUUGCUAUCUCGAAAGAGAACGCUAAUCUCCUAAACUCGGUCGUAGUUCGGAUUGAGGGCUGAAACCCGCCCUCAUGAAGCUGGAUUCGGUAGUAAUCGCAUUUCAGAAGAGUGCGGUGAAUACGUCCCUGCUCCUUGCACACACCGCCCGUCAAAGCACCCGAGUGAGGUCCGGAUGAGGCCACCACACGGUGGUCGAAUCU
rnacentral:rRNA from 1 species